rnacentral:tRNA from 2 species
GCCGAAGUAGCUCAGUUGGUAGAGCAACUGAUUUGUAAUCAGUAGGUCGCGGGUUCGACUCCCAUCUUCGGCU